GUCUCCAUUUCAAUGUAAGCUGAAGGGAGGUGUUCAAUCUCAACACGCCCUCUGUCGCCUCUCUCUCCCUCUCUCUCUCUCUCUCUCUCCAUCUUCAAUGGCUUCUCAACCUCAUCGCCCCCGAGAACUACCCCUGGUUCUUGUUCUCCGCCCGCCUCCAGUCUUCACUGUCUUCGAGGCUCAGUUUUCUCAAAAGUUCCAGUUCCUGAAAGCGUGGGAGUCGCCGCUCCCCGUAGCCACAUUUCUCACCACACACACGCAGUCCGUACGCGCCGCACUCUGCUCCGGUGGCUCCCCAAUCACCGCGGAAAUCCUCCGAUGGCUGCCGUCUCUCCGCCUCAUCGUCACCACCAGCGCCGGCCUCAACCACAUCGACUUGCCGGAGUGCCGCCGCCGUGGAAUUGCAGUCGCUAAUGCCGGGACUGUGUUUUCCGCUGAAGUAGCGGAUACGGCGGUCGGGCUUCUGCUUGAUGUGCUCCGAAAGGUAUCGGCCGCGGACCGGUAUGUUCGCGCUGGGCUUUGGAAGAUCUCAGGGGAUUAUCCUCUUGGUUCUAAGAUCGGAGGCAAGCGAGUUGGCAUUGUUGGAUUGGGAAGCAUUGGCUUAGAAGUUGCAAAAAGGCUUCAGGCCUUUGGCUGCAUCAUUUUGUACAACUCAAGGAAGAAGAAGCCGCCUGUGUCAUACCCUUACUAUUCUAGUGUCUGUGAACUUGCAGCUGAUAGCGAUGUCCUUGUCAUUUGUUGUGCAUUAACUAGUCAAACCCGCCAUAUGAUAGAUAAGGAAGUCUUGUUGGCACUGGGGAAGAACGGAGUCAUUAUUAACAUCGGACGAGGUGCAGUUAUUGAUGAAAAGGAACUGGUACAGUGUUUGAUGCAAGGAGAUAUUGCUGGUGCUGGAUUGGAUGUGUUUGAGAAUGAGCCCAGUGUUCCUAAAGAGCUCUUUGCAUUGGAUAAUGUUGUGUUGUUACCACAUACAGCUGUCUUUACGAAGGAAACCUUCUUGGAUUUGUACGAGCUCAUGGUGGCGAAUUUGGAAGCUUUCUUCUCAAAUAAGCCCUUGCUUUCUCCAGUGAUUGAUGAAUGAAUGGGUUUCCUUUGUCAUUGCUGGUUGGUUUCUCCAUUAGUGGAUUUCCUUUCUCACCGCUGGACAAAAGACGAUUGAUGUAGUGAAAAGUCAAAUAAAGGACAACAAUCAAAAACUGCUGCAUUAAUUAUCUGGACAUUUUGUAUGUAUCUGCUGUAUAUUAAGUGGUAGAAUACUGUAGAAAUGCUUCUUCAUGCUACGUACAUGCAUGCAUUAGACCUAGGUUAAGCAUAGUUAAGUUGAUCCAAUGGCUUUUAAGUUAGAACUUGGGAGGAUAUUUGUUUAUAUAAUUUUUUCCUGCUUUCUCUCUAGAAAAUAAAUACAUAUAAUGCUUAAUCUUGAAAA